GACAAUAAUUUAUACAAAUUUAUACAAAUAUAAUAAUUUAUACAAAUACAAAUAUAAUAAUUUAUACAAAUAAUUUAUACAAAUUAUUUCUUCUAAUCCUCAGAACUAUUAUCCUCCAUUUACAGUUAAGUAAACUGAUGUCCUGGGAAAUGAGGCACUUUAGUUUUAAAAGCUGCUAAAGUCUACUGCUACAUCAUGCAGCUAGCCUGGGCCCUGCUUUGCUUGUGUCAGUCAGCUCUGAAGAAGCCUCUGUCCUGUAAUUUAGACUGUAUGUCAUUAAGUGGGAUUAGUUCAGGGAAAUUCACAGGAAUAAUAAAAGACAGAAAACAUGAGGAUGAUGGGCCCCACCCCAGGACUGAAAAUGUGUGGAAACAUCAAGGGAAUAAAAGUGUGUCAGAAUUCUUCAGGACAGGGCAUCUGAAAAAAUUUGAGUCAAUGCACAGGAUAUUGUCCUGGGAAGCACCAUAUAAAAAAAUAAAGAAGAGGAACAGAAUCUGUGGCAAAGAAAGGUUAAAUUAUUGAUAACAUGUUUUGAAUUCUGAAACAUCAAUUUCUGAAACUAGAGCUUCUGGGGUUUUUUAAAUUUAAAUUUUAAUAAAAAUGCUAUAAUUAAUAUCUCAGCAAAUCUUUGUCCUCAUGUCCGAUUAUUUAAGAAAAUUACUAGAAAUUGGAUUAAUGAUCCAAGGGUGAGAUUAUUUUUAAGUCUUUUAAUAAAUGUUCCCAAUCUGUUUUUAGUAGAGUUGGUAGCAAUUAUUAUUCCCACCAUCGGCGGGCAAGGGUGACUUUUCCAACUCGAAAAAAAAUUCUUCAGAAGAAAACAAAAUCUUUGCCUUGGAUUUCUCAAGUAAUUACAUACAGGUAGUACUAAAAUUAAGUUGGAAACAAUAUAUAUUCUAAUAAGUGGGAAAAAUAACAAAAACUUGAACCUAUUUGAGGACAGACCAUAUCUCAAUGUUUCUGACAUCAGAAAAGUUUAGGUAAUUAUGGAUGGAUGGAAAUUAGUUCUAAACAGUAGAAAAUACAGAAGAAAUUGAGACUAUAUGGCCUAGGUAUCUAAUAGAUGCAAGCAUUUAGCCAACAGACAAUCAAUUUACAGAAUUUGCUUGUUUUUAAUAAGUAUUUAAUUUUAGUUGACUACUUUGCAUUAUACUUACAUAAAAACGCUAUAAAGUAUAUUUUAUUUGUCUGAGCCUGUAGGCCUCUUUUGAAAACCAAAUGAGAAUCAGCCAAUUGAAACUAAAUAGUUGAAAAAACAAGCAAACUUGGCAAAUUUGGUUAUUUGCAGGAUUGCCUGGUUUAUUGGCUUUUGAAGAACUGGCUUUUGGCAAAAUGAUCUAGACACAAAUCUAGUCGGUAAAUUUUUAUGAGGGACUUGCUAGGGAGCUAUUCUUUAUGUUUCCAAAUAAGUAGAUCUUAUAAACAAAAAAUAAGCUUGAAGGAAAGGACACAUUUUAAUUGGACAUAAAGACAAAUGUGCUAAUUUUAAGGAUGAUAAAACAUUGAAAUGGGUUGAGUUUUCAUAUGUUGAGACACUCAACUGCCUGUAGUUAUCUCUAAAGUUCCCUUCCAGGCUCACAAAAAUAAUAUCUCAUCCAAACCAAUCCAAAGAGAAAGAAAAAGUCAAGUCAAAGACAACCAGAGACAGAUAAAAGCUCAUGAAGCAUGGUCUGGGCAGGACAAACUACAAAGAUUUUAACAUUUCAUAAGAUUAGUGACAGAUCAGGUGUGGAGACAGACAUAAAUAUGAUGCCUAUACCUGGUUCUCUAGAAGCAGAACAUGCUUGGCCAUUCUGGUGCAAGUUAUUUAUUGGGAGAGCCCUCUUGGGAGAAAAGGAGUGAUGGAAGCAUGCUCUGGCUUCCAUUUUUACAUGGAAAAAGUUAAGCAUGGAUUUGGUUGACUGAGGUUGGAGUCCAACUGAGGUUGGAGUCCAGCUUCAGCCUUUAGCUUUGGGCCUGACCCAGGGACAGUCCUGGAAUCUGAAAGUCCUUCCUUAUCAGUCAACCAUUGUCUGGGGGCUGCUGUGACAUUCCAAGUAAGAUGGCUUUCAUUGGCUGAAAGCAAUUCUCCACUAUAGAGGGCAGCUGUGAGCUAUUAGCAGCCAAUACUUACAGGAGCUAGGCAGGAUGCUGACUGUCUAAGUAAAGGGCCCCCAGGUGGGGGCACUGACAGCUUUUAAUGUAUAAUGUAAAUGUAGACUACUAGAUGCAUUUUUCUCUAGUCACUCUAAUUAGUAUUAAAAGCAUUUACUAAUUACCUUCAUAAUGGUG
ensembl:lincRNA